rnacentral:rRNA from 1 species
UACGUAGGUGGCAAGCGUUGUCCGGAUUUACUGGGCGUAAAGAGCGCGCAGGCGGUCGAUUUAGUCGCGUGUGAAAGCCCCCGGCUCAACUGGGGAGGGUCACGCGAUACUGAUCGACUCGAAGGCAGGAGAGGGUAGUGGAAUUCCCGGUGUAGAGGUGAAAUUCGUAGAUAUCAGGAGGAACACCGGUGGCGAAGGCGGCUUUCUGGACGACAACUGACGCUGAGACGCGAAAGCGUGGGGAGCAAACAGG